AGUAGGUGUCGUUGUUUCAGUGCUUAUGUUGAAAUGAUAAUUCUGGUGGUAGAGUAGAGCAGAGGACACACAGAUCAAACCACUCAUCAACGACGGUCGUCUCACUCUCACUGCUGCUGCCACUGACUGGUCCCUGCGCUGAACACAUACAUAGACACAGUCGACCAGCCGCGUUUGUUUUUUUACUCCCGGGGUUUUAACUUUAAAGCCUGGACGGGAGUCAUGCUUCUGGACGAUACAACACCGCGGACAUAAGCGAGUCAGAGGACGAAAAGUCGCGAACACUACCCCCGAGGCGCCACAAAGCAGUGGGGGUAAGGGGAAGGAAGAAGAAGGGAGGUCGGUUCUUAUUUUCUGUGUUCAACACUCCGAGAGAAAGACGGCAUCCGGUCUGAGAAGAAGCUCCGAGGUCGGGGAGCCCGUUCGGAGCAACAACGCUCAUCGUUUCUGGCCUCCCCUUCCUGAGAGCUCCAUGGAGAAGAUGAAGCGUUUCAAACGACGUUUGUCCCAGACGCUACGAGGCAGCCACACCAUUGACGAGUCACUCUCCGAACUCGCGGAGCAAAUGACCAUAGAGGAGAACGGCCUGAAGGACAGCGAGCCAAUAGUGAGGAACGGCCGGCCUCCCUCAGCCCACAGCGUCCACUCCUUCCUUCAUCAAUACACUGGC